rnacentral:rRNA from 1 species
AGAGUUUGAUCAUGGCUCAGAGCGAACGUUAGCGGCAGGCCUAACACAUGCAAGUCGCACGAGAAUCCGGUUUCGGCCGGUAGUAAAGUGGCGGACGGGUGAGUAACACGUGGAUAAUCUGCCCUUCGGCGGGGGACAACAGUCCGAAAGGAUUGCUAAUACCGCAUACGUCGGCAAGCUCUUCGGAGCUUGUCGGGAAA